AGUUCGGAUUGUAGUCUGCAACUCGACUACAUGAAGCCGGAAUCGCUAGUAAUCGCGGAUCAGAAUGCCGCGGUGAAUACGUUCCCGGGUCUUGUACACACCGCCCGUCACACCAUGGGAGCCGGAAAUGCCCGAAGUCAGUGACCCAACCAAUAAGGAGGGAGCUGCCGAAGGCAGGUCUGGUGACUGGGGUGAAGUCGUAACAAGGUAUC
rnacentral:rRNA from 1 species